CAAUCAGUUAUCGUUUAUUUGAUAGUACCUUACUACUUGGAUAACCGUGGUAAUUCUAGAGCUAAUACAUGCUGAAAACCCUGACUUCGGAAAGGGUGUAUUUAUUAGAUAAAAAACCAAUGCCCUUUGGGCUCUUUGGUGAUUCAUGAUAACUUAACGGAUCGCAUGGCCUUGCGCCGGCGACGGUUCAUUCAAAUUUCUGCCCUAUCAACUUUCGAUGGUAAGGUAUUGGCUUACCAUGGUUUCAACGGGUAACGGGGAAUUAGGGUUCGAUUCCGGAGAGGGAGCGUGAGAAACGGCUACCACAUCCAAGGAAGGCAGCAGGCGCGCAAAUUACCCAAUCCCGACACGGGGAGGUAGUGACAAUAAAUACUGAUACAGGGCUCUUUUGGGUCUUGUAAUCGGAAUGAGUACAAUUUAAACCUCUUAACGAGGAACAAUUGGAGGGCAAGUCUGGUGCCAGCAGCCGCGGUAAUUCCAGCUCCAAUAGCGUAUAUUAAAGUUGUUGCAGUUAAAAAGCUCGUAGUUGAAUCUUGGGCCUGGCUGGCCGGUCCGCCUCACCGCGUGUACUGGUCUGGCCGGGCCUUUCCUUCUGGAGAACCUCAUGCCCUUCAGUGGGUGUGUUGGGGAACCAGGACUUUUACUUUGAAAAAAUUAGAGUGUUCAAAGCAGGCCUUUGCUCGAAUACGUUAGCAUGGAAUAAUAGAAUAGGACGUGCGGUCCUAUUUUGUUGGUUUCUAGGACCGCCGUAAUGAUUAAUAGGGAUAGUCGGGGGCAUCAGUAUUCAAUUGUCAGAGGUGAAAUUCUUGGAUUUAUUGAAGACUAACUACUGCGAAAGCAUUUGCCAAGGAUGUUUUCAUUAAUCAGUGAACGAAAGUUAGGGGAUCGAAGACGAUCAGAUACCGUCGUAGUCUUAACCGUAAACUAUGCCGACUAGGGAUCGGGCGAUGUUUCUAUCUUGACUCGCUCGGCAC
rnacentral:rRNA from 2 species